CCGCUUUCAAGCUCGCUCGACAUGCUGCUCGUUUCCCCGCAGCCGCCGCGCUUUGAUCCAGGGUGAACUUUUGCCCUUUGCCUUUUCGUCCCAGAGAAAAGUGGACAAAAGCUCGCGGGGCCGGCACAUCCACCAGUCGAGGGCGGUCCAUCCCGGUCCUGACUCCCGCCGUCAUCUUUCUGGAUGUGACUCCUACCAACGGGGGCGGUGCGCGACUCUCCUCCCGUCGUCGUUAACGCCAGACGCCGACUUGUACCGCCACCGGACAGCCGUCCCGCCGACAAAUGACGACGGUUCGAGUUCCCCGAAAUGUGCGAAAAGUGACGACGGACACAAAAUUCUCCUGAACCCACAAAAGCACCUUUCGGAAAUCAAUUCCUUUGACCGACAUAAGUAUUUUUGAAAUAUUAGCAGUUGUUCCCCAAAAGGUCUUCAUUAGGUCAUCAUAAAUCAUUUUCUUUCAUCGA